rnacentral:lncRNA from 13 species
UCAUUGUGUUGUCUUGGGAUUUGUAGUCCAUUGUGUUGUCCUGGGAUUUGUAGUCCAUUGUGUUGUCCUGGGAUUUGUAGUCCAUUGUAUUGUCCUGGGAUUUGUAGUCCAUUGUGUUGUCCUGGGAUUUGUAGUCAUUGUGUUGUCCUGGAAUUUGUAGUCCAUUGUGUUGUCCUGGGAUUUGUAGUCCAUUGUGUUGUCCUGGGAUUUGUAGUCGUUUUGUUGUCCUGGGAUUUGUAGUCAUUGUGUUGACUUGGGAUUGGUAGUCAUUGUGUUGUCUUGGGAUUGGUAGUC